rnacentral:rRNA from 1 species
GCCUGCCCAGUGAUAAAUUAAACGGCCGCGGUAUUUUGACCGUGCGAAGGUAGCGCAAUCACUUGUCUUUUAAAUGAAGACCUGUAUGAAUGGCGGAACGAGGGCUUAACUGUCUCCCCUCUCUAGUCAAUGAAAUUGAUCUGCCCGUGCAGAAGCGGACAUAUAUAUACAAGACGAGAAGACCCUUUGGAGCUUAAGAUAUAAGACCAACCACGUCAAGAACACGAAUAAAAGUUAAACUAAGUGACACCUGGUCCUUAUCUUCGGUUGGGGCGACCACGGGAGAAAACAAAGCUCCCAUGCAGACUGGGACUAAAAUCCUAAAACCAAGAAAAACACCUCUAAGUAACAGAAUAUCUGACUACUGAGAUCCGGCUAAAUGCCGAUCAACGAACCAAGUUACCCUAGGGAUAACAGCGCAAUCCCCUUUCAGAGUCCAUAUCGACAAGGGGGUUUACGACCUCGAUGUUGGAUCAGGACAUCCUAAUGGUGCAGCCGCUAUUAAGGGUUCGUUUGUUCAACGAUUAAAGUCCU